GUCAUACAAACCAUUGUGAGAAAUAAUGAACGUCGGUGAGAAGGGUGGGACACCGGGACUCUGAAAACCCAAGUUCUGUUCACAGCUCUGCUGUGUGACCUUUGCCAAAUCAAUUCCCCUCUCUCUCUCCUCCUGCUGUGUGUGCCAUUAGACUGCAUUUUGCUAAGUGCUAAGACUCUCUCUGUGUCCAACACCUCGCCCGGUGGGGCCCUGAUCUCGGCUGAAAGGAGGCAGCGAACAGAGAGAGACUGGCAUUUCACUACUGCUUAGACUGCAAGGCUCGAACCCCGAUCAUCCAAGGGAUGAACCCCGACUGUUCCACGGAAAGAACCCCGACGCCGCAACGAGGAUGGUUCUGGACUCCUGGACAGAACCAAUGAAAACUGGAAACGCUGGACCACCGGAACGCUGGAACAGGAUGCGACAAUCACCAGAAAGCAUCCCACCCCACCUGAAAGACGAGACCCCCUUGAUACCAGACGGGCUACCACUGGAGUUUACAACUGGCAACUCCCUACAUCCGGAUUGAGAAACCAUCAACAACAGGACUAAAGACUCUUAUUGUUGUUCUGCUCUCGCCCCCAGAAAGAGGAGUCGUGUGAGUGGACUGCGGCCAUCAGCUGAGUGUGCAGCUCAGCGCAUAGGUCAGGAGGGAGAUAAAAACUCCA
rnacentral:lncRNA from 1 species